rnacentral:rRNA from 1 species
UUUAACGACAGCCCGAUGUNAUGNUAUCUAACAUUGGGCACGUUGAUCUAUGGAUCUCAGCANUUGAGACCGCUCAGUCUUUACAGCCUUACACAUGCAAGUCGAACGGCAGCACGGACUUCGGUCUGGUGGCGAGUGGCGAACGGGUGAGUAAUGUAUCGGAACGUGCCCAGUAGCGGGGGAUAACUACGCGAAAGCGUAGCUAAUACCGCAUACGCCCUACGGGGGAAAGCAGGGGAUCGCAAGACCUUGCACUAUUGGAGCGGCCGAUAUCGGAUUAGCUAGUUGGUGGGGUAACGGCUCACCAAGGCGACGAUCCGUAGCUGGUUUGAGAGGACGACCAGCCACACUGGGACUGAGACACGGCCCAGACUCCUACGGGAGGCAGCAGUGGGGAAUUUUGGACAAUGGGGGAAACCCUGAUCCAGCCAUCCCGCGUGUGCGAUGAAGGCCUUCGGGUUGUAAAGCACUUUUGGCAGGAAAGAAACGUCAUGGGCUAAUACCCCGUGAAACUGACGGUACCUGCAGAAUAAGCACCGGCUAACUACGUGCCAGCAGC